GACAGAGGGUGCAAGCGUUAUCCGGAUUCACUGGGUUUAAAGGGUGCGUAGGUGGGCAGGUAAGUCAGUGGUGAAAUCUCCGGGCUUAACCCGGAAACUGCCAUUGAUACUAUCUGUCUUGAAUACCGUGGAGGUGAGCGGAAUAUGUCAUGUAGCGGUGAAAUGCUUAGAUAUGACAUAGAACACCAAUUGCGAAGGCAGCUCACUACACGAAUAUUGACACUGAGGCACGAAAGCGUGGGGAUCAAACAGG
rnacentral:rRNA from 1 species